AGAGUUUGAUCCUGGCUCAGGACGAACGCUGGCGGCGUGCCUAACACAUGCAAGUCGAGCGGGGAGAAGAAUUCGUUUUUCUCUUUAGCGGCGGACGGGUGAGUAACACGUGGGUAACCUGCCUCAAAGUGGGGGAUAGCCUUCCGAAAGGAAGAUUAAUACCGCAUAAUAUCAUAGCGCUGCAUGGUGCUGUGAUCAAAGGAGCAAUCCGCUUUGAGAUGGACCCGCGGCGCAUUAGCUAGUUGGUGAGGUAACGGCCCACCAAGGCGACGAUGCGUAGCCGACCUGAGAGGGUGAUCGGCCACAUUGGAACUGAGACACGGUCCAGACUCCUACGGGAGGCAGCAGUGGGGAAUAUUGCACAAUGGGGGAAACCCUGAUGCAGCAACGCCGCGUGAGUGAUGAAGGCCUUCGGGUCGUAAAGCUCUUUGAUCAGGGACGAUAAUGACGGUACCUGAAAAACAAGCCACGGCUAACUACGUGCCAGCAGCCGCGGUAAUACGUAGGUGGCGAGCGUUGUCCGGAUUUACUGGGCGUAAAGAAUGCGUAGGUGGAUAUUUAAGUGGGAUGUGAAAUCCCCGGGCUCAACCCGGGAACUGCAUACCAAACUGGAUAUCUGGAGUGCAGGAGAGGAAAGCGGAAUUCCUAGUGUAGCGGUGAAAUGCGUAGAUAUUAGGAGGAACACCAGUGGCGAAGGCGGCUUUCUGGACUGUAACUGACACUGAGGCAUGAAAGCGUGGGGAGCAAACAGGAUUAGAUACCCUGGUAGUCCACGCCGUAAACUAUGGGUACUAGGUGUAGGGGGUAUCGACUCCCCCUGUGCCGCCGUUAACACAAUAAGUACCCCGCCUGGGGAGUACGGUCGCAAGACUAAAACUCAAAGGAAUUGACGG
rnacentral:rRNA from 1 species